rnacentral:rRNA from 1 species
GACGAACGCUGGCGGCGUGGAUUAGGCAUGCAAGUCGAACGGUAUCAUCCUUUCGGGGGUGAGAGAGUGGCGAACUGGUGAGUAACACGUAGGUUAUCUACCCUCAAGACGGGGACAACCCAGGGAAACUUGGGCUAAUACCGGAUGUGAGCAACUUUUAGUUGUUUGAAAGGUGGCGUAAGCUGUCGCUUGGGGAUGAGCCUGCGUCCUAUUAGUUAGUUGGUGAGGUAACGGCUCACCUAGGCAAUGAUAGGUAGGCGGCCUUAACGGGUGGUCGCCCACACUGGGAUUGAGAUACGGCCCAGACUCCUACGGGAGGCAGCAGUCGAGAAUAGUCUACAAUGGUCGGAAGACUGAUAGUGCGACGCCGCGUGAACGAUGAAUCCCUUCGGGGUUAAAGUUCUUUUAUAUGUGAGCAGUGCUUCUUAUAUUAACAGUAUGGGGAAGAGAUAUUAGCAUAUGAAUAAGCAAACGGCUAAACUCCGUGCCCAGCAGCCGACGGUAAAACG